AAUCUUUAACUCGUCUCAUGCAAUUUUUAUUUGAAAAUAUCCACGUUUACGUAUGACCUAGGAAAAUACUUCGGUAAUACAAAUAUGGCCGAUUCCCUAGCGACCUAUACAAUUUCUCCCAUUCAAAUAAAAUGUGUUACAUGUAUGGAAUAUUACGCAUAUUUAUAACUUUUCUAAGUUGUUGAUCGUUGUUGAUGCUGCGUGAUUGUGAUAUGAAGCGCGUGAAACUUAUGACAUUCUUGUAAAUAUUGUAUGUAAAUAAGAUCGAAGUGUAAAUAUAAUCUAUUUGUUUACGUGUAAACCGACUGACAAGAUAAACGUCUAUUACUAAAUGCAGGCGGUUUUGAAAAGUUCAAAUCAAAUUGUAUUUUUCAUUAAAAUGUAUUUAAAUAUAAUAAAUUUGUAUGAUACCUGAGUGUCCAAUAACCUAUCAUUAAUAGAAGAAUUGAUCAGAUGGAGUUGUCACAGAAUUCUCAAAUUUCUGCUGAUCCAGAAACGAAAGGAUUCGAUUUAUCUGCUGGAAAAACAUGGAUUUAUCCGGAAAAUUAUCCCGUCAGGGACUAUCAAUUCAAUAUAGUUCAUUCUUCUUUGUAUACGAAUACCUUAGUUUGUUUACCCACGGGAUUAGGAAAAACAUUCAUUGCUGCAGUUGUAAUGUAUAAUUUUUGGAGAUGGUAUCCAUGUGGAAAAGUUGUGUUUUUGGCACCUACUAAACCUUUGGUUGCUCAGCAGAUUUCUGCUUGUCACAAUAUAAUGGGUAUACCUAGCAUAGAAACCAUUGAACUUACAGGAGCAGUCAAUCAAAAACAUCGUGAAGUAGCUUGGUCAAAGAAAAGGGUAGUGUUUGCUACUCCUCAAGUUUUUCAAAAUGAUCUGGAGAAAAACAUUGUACCUAGUGAUUUAAUAAAAUGUGUAGUUAUUGAUGAAGCUCAUAAAGCUCUAGGAAAGCAUUCAUAUCGCGAGUGUAUUAGAAUAUUAAGUGAAAGGAACCAAAAUUUCAGAGUAUUAGCCCUCUCUGCUACACCAGGAAAUAAAAUUGACAAUGUUCACGAGAUUUUGCAAAAUUUACGCAUUGCUCAUAUGGAGCUAAGAGAUGAAACUUCCUCUGAUAUUAUACCAUACAUCAAUCAAAGAAAGAUUGAUAUAAUUUUGGUACCACUUAAUGAUCAGUUAACUGAAUUCAAAGAUAGGUACAUCUACAUUAUGGAUCGUCAUGUUAAAGUUUUACUUCAACAUAAUGUUCUUCGUGGACAAACAGCAAAUAUCUCGAAAGGAAGGGUAUUUUAUUUAUUGAAAGAAUAUCAAAAGAAAACAAAUAAAUCAGGAAGUUAUGGACAAAUUAUAAAAACGCUAAACAUAUUAAUGACGAUGUAUCAUGCCUAUGAGCUCAUGAUUAGAGAUGGUCUUCGAGCAUUUCAUAAAUUUUACGAAAAUCAUUCUGAUAAAUUUUGGAUGCACGAGGAAACGCAACUGCAAGACUUGCUGGAUGAUAUCCAAACAUAUCUCGGCCCGUUUCCAGAGAUAAAGUCAUCAUGCAAUCAAUCUAUAGGAGAUAUUCCACAAAAUCUUGUAUUCGGACACACCAAGUUUGAAAAGUUGAGAGAAUUACUUGUAUGUCACUUUAAAAACUAUCAAGAAAAACAGAGCGACACGAGAGCCAUAGUUUUCGUCGAGUACAGAGAUAUCGUCAGCGAGGUUUACGUUCUGCUGUUGCAAUGCCAACCUCUGAUAAGGCCGCAGAUGUUCGUCGGUCAGUCUGGACAGAAACAAAAGCAACAAAUAAAAGCUUUGGUCGACUUUAGAAGCAAUCACGUUAACGUUCUUAUAUCUACGAGUAUAGGAGAGGAAGGAUUAGAUGUCGGAGAAGUAGAUUUAAUAAUAUGUUUCGACAUAUCUCAACACUCUCCUACGCGGCUCGUACAAAGAAUGGGGAGAACUGGUCGAAAACGCGACGGACAUAUCAUUAUUCUCGUCACAGAUGGAAGAGAACACGAGACAUUAAGAUCCACAAUGGCUAGGAGAGAUUCUCUAAACAACAAGAUAUUAAAUACGAGUAACGUUACUUCCUCCCUUUAUCAAGACAAUCCGCGUAUGAUUCCUGAUGGGUUUACUCCGGAGUGUUUGAAAAUGCAUUUGAGCAUGCAGCCGAAAACUCCGAUUACGAAGGGCAGGAAGAAGAAAGAGAAAAUGGAAACGAAGACUAAUAAACGUAAAAAUACCAUUAAAAAGGUUACUGCUAUAGAGUCGAAAGUAGCAUCACAAAACGAUGGGGGUCAAUUUUCGAUGAUGAAAUUCUUCAAAAGUGACAAGCACGAGGAACAUAAGAGCUCUGUUUUGGAACCACAGAGUCUAAAAAUUGAAACUCAUGAUGUCCAUCCGAUAAUAAAACCGUCUGAUGUAAAGAUCCUAUCUUGCGACGACGACGCAGUUGAUUUUCUCACGGCGUGCGCUUUGAGAACCUCUGAGAGGGAAGCGAGCGCAGACGGAAAACGUAGCAUCGAUAAAUCUUAUGUACCUAAAUGUGCACCAAUUAAAAACUUUUUUAAUUUCUCGAUACCUAAUCUUAAAAUUCUUGAUUGUUUAAUCACACUGAGUGAUCCCAUUCUAAAAGAUAGUAAAAAAAUCAAUUUGGAUUACAAUUAUAGCGCGAACGACAGCGAUGGAAAUCAUUCGUAUAAUAAUAACGACGAUGAAUGUGUAAUGAUCGGCACGAUCAAGGAAAUUGUUGACUUGCAUACGGUUGAAGAAUCAAAAUUUGAGUAUUUGCUCGAUGACAGUAGCGCGUCGAACACCAGCAAUGAAUUGAAUGAUAUUGAAGAAGUAGCGAUUGAAAAUAAUAAUCCUACGACUUCCUUGUCGUAUCUACACGCUGACGUAUUACAGGAAACAAAAAAGGAUACGAACGCCUUGGAAGAUUUGGAGCCUAGCAAAUUUGAGGAUUUGUUGAACGAAACUACCGAUGAUUCUGAGAAUGACGUCCCCACUCAUAUACGAGCGGAAAAUUCUAAUCCCAUUGUUAGCGAUUCCGCUAACGAUGAAAAUGUGAAAACGUUUACUAAUUUAAAGAUAUAUGAUGAUAUGGAAGUGAACAGUGCGCAUUUUCAAGAGAUCGAGGAUAUUUCUGUCCAAUCUGAUCAAAGUAAACACGACGUCCAUGAUUACAAGGAGAAAAAAAAUGCUAGUAAGACUCAGGAUCAAAGUAUGCUUAGUGUAACACAGGCUAUUAUCGAAAUAGGGAGAAUAAAGUCAAAUUUGGACGUGUCAGUUACGGCUUACGAGUCCGAGGACGAUUUAUUUGAGGACGAUAUAGUAUUUCCUACACAAAUCGACAGCGAAGUGAAUUUUGUUCGACAAAUUGAAUCAGUGGACGAAGGUAAAGAGUCCAACGAUACGAAAGAUCCAAGUAAAUCAGCAUAUUUCGCUGACAAAAAAAGCGCGAUUGAUACGGAACUCAAGAUCGAUGAAUUCGAAUGGGGCGAUGACUUCGAUAUUAUUCCCACGCCCGUAGAAAAUUGUGCUGCAUUUGACACGUCCAAAAAGGAAAGCGAGAAAUUAAAGAAAAUCGAGAACAAAGUUGAAGAUCGGUAUUCGGAUAGCGACGAAUGGUUUUCGGUUAAAAAAUCGUGCGAUACUAUGAAGAAGAACGUACCUAGAAAAACUACCAUAGCAAAGAAAUUGGCGAACAUGAAGAAGUGUAACUCUAAACAAGGUGCGAGAAACGAAGUUAAAAUUGAGAGUGAUCUAGUUACCAUUAAGGGUAACAAAAGGGACGAAUUGGAAGCCAGUUAUUUUUUCAACGAACAAGAAGAUCAUUUUGUUGAAAAUAAAGAUCCACGAGAGAAUGUAAAACAUUUCGAGAGGCCUACCAUUAAAAAUCGUAAUCGUUCUCGCAGGCCGAGAAGAGCAAGAAGUAACUUUUUAGAUGACGAGGCAGAAGUUUCGUCGACCGGUGACUGCUCGACGGAUGAAAGUUCUGGUGUAGAUCAAGAUUUGGAAGAUUUUGUCAGUUACACGCAGAAUGUGCACGAUACCUCCGACAUGCACGCCGUCUAUUUACAAACCGUCAGAAGCCCGAUAAAAAGAUGCAACGGUUUCCUCUUCAAAGAACCAAGGGCAGUUGAUCCCGAUGUAGAAAUUUAUUCCCAGGAAUUCACUCAAGCGAACGACUCCUAUCUCGACGAUUCGUUCUGCGUGGCGGAGGGCGACGUCGAGGAAGGGGCGUCCACUUCAAUGGAGGAAUUAUGCGAAUUGGAAAAGGCAGAGCUAGAGCUGAAAAAGAGAAAAAGAAAACGCGCUCGAGGCGAGAAAUCGGAGGAUCACGCUGCGAAAAGAACGAGGAAGAAUAAAAGAGCAAAUAUAAUUAAUUAUAGCGCGAGUAGCGAGGAUGAAACUGAGAAAUUACGAGAGCAGAUCAAAGACGAAUCGUUUUUGUUAGCGCGAUCGAAUAGGAAUAAUUGAUCCUUUCGGAAAUAUUAUUUAAAUCAAGAGUGUAUAUUUAUAUUGAUUUCUUUGUAUAUUACUGCGCAGUGGGCCAAGCUUCAAUAAAUAUAUAAAUUUUAGUCCACUGCGCGCCGUCGACUGAAUAGAAGACGAGAAAACGAAACUAUGUUCGUUUCAGCGAAAGUAAUCUUUUGGGACUUGAACUUGAAACGAUCUUCGAGAAAUCUCAGUUACGGUAAAUCAUAAGAUGGCGAUAUAUUUUCUACCUGCCCAAGCGUCCUUCGAUCGUUUUUCGAAGAACUGCAAAUUCUUUUGGGCGAGAAGACUGUCAGGUGCUAUAACUCAAAGAAUACAAACGAACAAUAAGCAUUGUGCUUGAAUUUCACGGUCCUGGUAGGUUUGCCAGCUGAAGUGCGAUGUAAAGCAGGGACGAGGUACCUGCGCGCUUUUGUCGUAUACUUUGCCAGAAUUGUGUCUAGUAAUUAGACCGGGGUGUUUUCUACUGUUUUUACCAGUCCAUCCAUCUUUACAAAAAAUGGAUAGAAUAGAAAGGAAGGUCCAUACAAAAGAAUACCUAUGCAGUCUACCUAUACCUUCCUAGAAAUUUG